AACUCUCAACCCUUCUUACUUGUUUUCGAGUUCGAAUGGUGUUGGAUGGUGGAGGCUUGCCGGACCUUUCAAUGGGUUCAGCUCCUCUGAAAUGCAUUAGCAGUACGAACCAUUACUUGGGCUACGCUAAGCUGUGAUAAUAUCUAAGCUAGCUUGGUUCAGAGUGUUGGCAGAGCUCGGGUGUUUGAAGGGUUUGCCUCACGGCUCCCUUUGUGUUCUCUCCUCUGGAGGGAUACCUAUGCGACUCUGUGAAAGGUUUUUGCGACCGCUUCGAACCUCUUCUUCACUGAGACAACUUUAACUGAUUAU
rnacentral:misc_RNA from 1 species